UAUUUUGUUGGUUUCUAGGNCCGUCGUAAUGAUUAAUAGGGACGGUUGGGGGCAUUAGUAUUCAAUUGUCAGAGGUGAAAUUCUUGGAUUUAUUGAAGACUGCCUACUGCGAAAGCAUUUGCCAAGGAUGUUUUCAUUAAUCAAGAACGAAAGUUAGGGGAUCGAAGACGAUUAGAUACCGUCGUAGUCUUAACCAUAAACGAUGCCGACUAGGGAUCGGACGUGGUUUCAAAUGACCCGUUCGGCACCUUGAGAGAAAUCAAAGUUUUUGGGUUCUGGGGGGAGUAUGGUCGCAAGGCUGAAACUUAAAGGAAUUGACGGAAGGGCACCACCAGGAGUGGAGCCUGCGGCUUAAUUUGACUCAACACGGGGAAACUCACCAGGUCCAGACACAGUGAGGAUUGACAGAUUGAGAGCUCUUUCUUGAUUCUGUGAUUGGUGGUGCAUGGCCGUUCUUAGUUGGUGGAGUGAUUUGUCUGCCUAAUUGCGAUAACGAACGAGACCCUUACUUGCUAAAUAGUCGACCUGGUUUUGACCGGGAUGCCUCAUUGGCAGCGACUUCUUAGAGGGACCGGGGGCUUCAAGCCUCAGGAAGCCGAGGGCAAUAACAGGUCUGUGAUGCCCUUAGAUGUUCUGGGCCGCACGCGCGCUACACUGAUAGAGUCGACGAGUCUUAUUCUCAGAAUAGUCCUUGGUCGGAAGGCCUGGGCAAUCUUGUGAACUUCUAUCGUGCUGGGGAUAGCGCAU
rnacentral:rRNA from 1 species